GAUGAACGCUGGCGGCGCAUUUAAGACAUGCAAGUCGAACGAAGAAUUUACACCGAAUGAAAGAUGAAGAUUCAUCAGAUUCUGGAUUUCACCGUAAAUUCUUAGUGGCGGACGGGUGAGUAAUACGUAGAUAAUCUGCCUUCUAGAGGGAAAUAACAGAGAGAAAUUUCUGCUAAUGUCCCAUAAGACCACACUAUGGCAUCUUAGAGUGAUCAAAGGAGCAAUCCGCUAGAAGAUGAGUCUACGGCUGAUUAGCCAGUUGGCAGUGUAAUGGACUACCAAAGCUAUGAUCAGUAGCCGAGCUGAGAGGCUGGCCGGCCACAUUGGGACUGAGACACGGCCCAGACUCCUACGGGAGGCAGCAGUUGGGAAUAUUGGACAAUGGAGGAAACUCUGAUCCAGUGACGCCGCGUGAAGGAAGAAGGUCUUCGGAUUGUAAACUUAUUUUGUCAGGGAAGAAUUUUGACUGUACCUGAAGAAAAAGCACCGGCUAACUACGUGCCAGCAGCCGCCGUAAAAC
rnacentral:rRNA from 1 species